UCCCAAAAAAUCUUCUUGGAAAGAGAAAAAAUGUCUACAGAUUCCGUCUGGACCUAAGCUUUCCUAUCUUCAGACUAUUGUGGAGGAACAAAAGCUAUGAAUUUGGGUUGGGAACUGAAGGGUUUUAGAUCAUUCACAAUGUUUAGGCUGAAUAAUACAUUUAACAUGUUCAACAUUUAACAUUUAAUAGUGUACUUUCAGGAUCAAUAUAGUGUCCACACAAUUCGAACCACUGUGCUUUGUGCACUUCCUGUGCUGCUGAGAGAAGACGCCUCAAGAUUCUUCAAAACAUGCGGGGGCUGAAAAUUCAGAAGAGCCAAAUGUUGGCUAUUCACCAGUUGCCCUGUUAACAGCAGUCCGAGAACUCACAGAUGCUGCAAUUCACUACAAUCUGGUCAGAAAUUUCAUUGUUCUUGAAAGUGAAGUCAUUACCCACCUGCCCAGGCUUUUCCGAUUUCUAUUUACAUUUGGACUGAUGUAUGCAUUGGAUCUGAGUUACCCAAAAGAGUUUAAAAGACAGGUGGCUUUAUAAGGUUUUAACGUUGAAGGAUGUGCAACACUAAUGCAGCAGUAGACGAUUUAUCCUGUCACUGUCAAUUUUUUUUUUUUUUUCAGUGUUGUGCCUCAUGUUUGUCAAUAAUUGAACCUUGUCUUUUUAUAUUAACCCUGUGAGGGCCAUGGUUGUUAUAUUACAACAAUUAUUUUGACCUAAAAAAAAAUCAUCUUUAAGUUUUUUUUGUUUUGUUUUUCUUUCAGACCACAUUUAAAUAAUCAAUGGGUCAUGUUGGUCCGCCUCUGAAUCCUAUUGGCGAUUAAAAUGUAUAAAGGUGCCGGACCAUCUGACUCGAAGCUCACUCAACCCGCGAACUUUCUCGGAGCAACAUAACCAGUUUUUAUUGGAUUGAAUAGCUCAAGAUUCAAAAUGCCACCAGCAAGGAAAAGACCUGUAUAUAGUGUGCAGGAUGUUCUUGCUAUCAUCCAAAACGGAGAGAGUGACUUUGAGUUGGAUUCAGACGACAGUGAUGCAAGUGAUAGAGAAACAGAUGAAGAUGCCAGUGAAGUGGACAAAGAAAACCAACAACCCACUGACUGCCCAGACAAUGAUUAUGAGGACAUUGAGCUACAACCAAAGAAACCGACCAUGCCCCGUGACCAGUAUUGCUGGCUGAAAAGGGAUUUUGUCAGUCCCAAUACUGAUUUUUCUGGUCCAGAUGUCACGAAUGGUAAUGUUUCCAUCCACACACCACUGGAGUACUUCCAGAGGUUCGUGUCAGAAGACAUGCUUCAGGCUCUGACACAAAACACAAACGAGUACAGCUUUCAAAAGACUGGAAGAUCUGUUAACACCAAUAAAAAAAGAAAUCAAGUAAGUGAUUGGAAUUUACUUGAAGAUGGGCCUAGUUUAAAUGUAUGGAGUCAGUAUGUAUUGGGAGACAGCCCUGCAGUACAACCAAAUUUCAGAUGUGAUAUCAUGCAACAGAUUUCAAGAACUGCUGAGAUCAUUACAUUUUGUCAACAACUUGACAGUGCCAAGUAGACAGAAAAGACAGACAAACUGUGGCUCGACUCAUUCAGAGAGAAGUGUCUGCAGGUUGUACCGGAAGAACACAACUCUGUGGAUGAGAUGAUGAUCCCUAUCAAGGGGAAAUUCAGCGGCAUAAAGCAGUAUCUGUGAGGAAAGCCACACCCGUGGGGGUUCAAAUUAUGGGUGAGAAGUGGAAUCUCUGGCAUGGUCUGUGAUUUUGAGGUGUACCAAGGCAGUGUCAAUGGACAUCGAGCCAAAUCUGAAUUUGGAUUGUCAGGGGAUGUUGUGAUGAAGCUUGCUUCCACGCUUCCAGAAGGGCAGAACUACAAAAUCUAUACAGGCAACUAUUUCACCUGCAUCCCAUUGGUAGUUCAGCUCCUUCGUAGUGGAAUUCAUUACGUGGGAACAGCCAGACAGGUACACCUACCCAACUGUAACCUUGCAGACGAGAAGAGAUUGAAUAAGAGUGGGAGAGGAAGCUUUGACUUCAGAGUCGAGGGGAACCACAACAUCUGUGCCGUCAAAUGGUUUGACAACAGGGUGGUGACACUUGUGUCAUCCUUUGCUGGCCAGAACCUGUGCAGAAAAUUAAACACUGGGACAAAGCCACCAAAAACUACAUUGAAGUUGAGAGGCCUUACAUUGUGGAAACUUACAACAAAUUCAUGGGAGGUGUGGAUUUAUUGGAUUCAUUUGCUGCCAAAUAUAAGUUCCGCAUAAAAUCGAAACGGUGGUACCUGUACAUCUUCUGGCACACCAUUAUUCUCGCUUGGAUCAACGCCUGGCUCCUCUACAAGCAAGACUGCAAAGCGCUCAAGUUUUUGCCAAAAGAGAUGCUGAACAGGAGACAGUUUUAGGCAGAACUAGCAGAUUCUCUUAUCCUGGUGAACACAACUCCAAUUAAACCAAAGAGAGGGCGACCAUCUUCAGCCGGUGGCAGCCCAGUAACACAGACGGUGACAUCAAGGAGCACUUUGAAUGCUCACAAGAGACCAUCCUCAGAUGGGAGUGAACCAAACGGGACCCCAGCUAAGAGGCCAUCUGCAAACCCCCCCGGUGGACGUGCGCAGGGACAUGGUUGCACAUUUACCAGUGAAGACAACGAGGACGCUGCAGACUCUGCAAAACUGGCUACACCAAUACUCUAUGCCACAAGUUCAAUGUUCGUCUUUGUUUUUCGGAGGACAAGAACUGUCUUUGGGACUACCAUACCUGAACUUUGG